rnacentral:rRNA from 1 species
GACGAACGCUGGCGGCGUGCCUAAUACAUGCAAGUCGAGCGAAUCACUGGGAGCUUGCUCCUGGUGGUUAGCGGCGGACGGGUGGGUAACACGUGGGCAACCUGCCUGUAAGACUGGGAUAACACCGGGAAACCGGUGCUAAUACCGGAUAAUCCUUUCCCUCUCAUGAGGGAAAGCUGAAAGUCGGUUUCGGCUGACACUUACAGAUGGGCCCGCGGCGCAUUAGCUAGUUGGUGAGGUAACGGCUCACCAAGGCGACGAGGCGUAGCCGACCUGAGAGGGUGAUCGGCCACACUGGGACUAAGACACGGCCUAGACUCCUACGGGAGGCAGCAGUAGGGAAUCUUCCACAAUGGACGAAAGUCUGAUGGAGCAACGCCGCGUGAGCGAUGAAGGCCUUCGGGUCGUAAAGCUCUGUUGUUAGGGAAGAACAAGUACCGGAGUAACUGCCGGUACCCUGACGGUACCUAACCAGAAAGCCACGGCUAACUACGUGCCAGCAGCCGCGGUAAGAC